AGCGGCGGACGGGUGAGUAACGCGUAGGCAACCUGCCCUUCAGAUGGGGACAACACCUCGAAAGGGGUGCUAAUACCGAAUGACGUUUCCUGGUCGCAUGACCUGGAAACCAAAGGCCGGGCAACCGGUCACUGAAGGAUGGGCCUGCGUCUGAUUAGCUAGUUGGUGGGGUAACGGCCCACCAAGGCGACGAUCAGUAGCCGGUCUGAGAGGAUGAACGGCCACAUUGGGACUGAGACACGGCCCAAACUCCUACGGGAGGCAGCAGUGGGGAAUCUUCCGCAAUGGGCGCAAGCCUGACGGAGCAACGCCGCGUGAGUGAAGAAGGUUUUCGGAUCGUAAAGCUCUGUUGAGAGGGACGAGAGAUAUAAUCAGGAAAUGGGUUAUAGAGGACGGUACCUUUCGAGGAAGCCACGGCUAACUACGUGCCAGCAGCCGCGGUAAUACGUAGGUGGCGAGCGUUGUCCGGAAUUAUUGGGCGUUAAGGGAGCGCAGGUGGGAAAGUAAGUCAGUCUUAAAAGUUCGGGGCUCAACCCCGUGAUGGGAUUGAAACUACUUUUCUUGAGUGCAGGAGAGGAAAGCGGAAUUCCUAGUGUAGCGGUGAAAUGCGUAGAUAUUAGGAGGAACACCAGUGGCGAAGGCGGCUUUCUGGACUGUAACUGACACUGAGGCUCGAAAGCGUGGGGAGCGAACAGGAUUAGAUACCCUGGUAGUCCACGCCGUAAACGAUGAAUGCUAGGUGU
rnacentral:rRNA from 1 species